rnacentral:tRNA from 1 species
GCGGACAUAGCUCAAUGGUAGAGUGCAAGCUUCCCAAGCUUGAAGUUGCGGGUUCGAGCCCCGUUGUCCGCUCCA